UGUUAAUGGGUCGGAUGUAUAAAACCCGGUCUGUUAAUUGGUCUGUUAAGAGUUAUGAAUGGCAAUAAAAGUAUAAUUUUAUUGCUAUAUGGGGUAUUAACGGAUCAAAUGAGUAGGCUCAAGACGAGCGGCUGAAAUACAUGAGCAAUGAAACAUAACAUAUACGGAAACAACACAUGAAAUUGAAAAUUGAUAAAAAUGGUUUCAAAAAGUGUAAUAUUAAAGUAAUAUUAUUU
rnacentral:lncRNA from 1 species